UCUCCGGUGUCCCACUCAAAAGUGUCCCCAGGGCACUUGAGCACAUCCCGUGAGUUCCUGACAAGUCCACCCAACAUGGCUGGAGUCACACAGGAAGCACCGUGUUGGACACUUCCUGUCGGCGCCAGGAACAAUGACUUGUCCCAGGCCAUGACCUCACCUCCGUGGCGGAGCCGGCAAUAAAUCAUCCACCUUGAAACGGAGCAGGUGGUGACGGAUUAACAAGACAGUUGGGAGGUGUAAUGUGCAGCUCUGGCCGCUAGAGGGACUUGAAGACCACCAGGAAGUUGCAUUGCACGGCAGGAGGUUUGAGGGGUUGCCUCCACAUUUUGGCGAGACUCCGGAGCCCCGGGCAGCAGGGGUCUGGGACAGGCUGCCAAAUUUGACGACCACAAGGAAUACCCGCUGGUUUUGUGUGUUUGUACAUGUGCCUUCUCUUUAAUUCAAUGAUGUCACCGAUUGACAGCACUGUC